CCGAUGGUUUUUUUGACACACGCUCGUGUUUCAAAUAAUACGUUUUUGCUCACUGUGAACUGUUUCGAAGCGCGUUUGAACGAAAGUUCGCGCUUGCAAAAGGGGUCAACGAGAGCUGACUGUCAGUAGCCGCCGUUAUAAAACGCUGCUGUUGGUGGCCUUCGGCUUGUCUGCCAACAGCGCUGCCCCUUUUGUUGCCGUUUUUUUCGUUCGGCGUGCGACCUGUUGGCUUGUUGUCACUUAACAAACGCUUGUCGGUUUAUGCUUUGUUGGCUGAACAUUUUUUUUCUCUGAGCCAAGAGAAAAGAAAGACGGUUACACAAAAAAGAAAAUAAAUGAAUGUCAGUGA
rnacentral:misc_RNA from 1 species